rnacentral:rRNA from 1 species
GAUGAACGCUAGCGGCAGGCUUAAUACAUGCAAGUCGAGGGGUAGCAAGAUUGUAGCAAUACAAUUGUUGACGACCGGCAAACGGGUGCGGAACACGUACACAACCUUCCUACAAGUGGGGAAUAGCCCAGAGAAAUUUGGAUUAAUACCCCGUAACAUAGCGAUGUGGCAUCACAUUGCUAUUAUAGCUUCGGCGCUUGUUGAUGGGUGUGCGGCUGAUUAGAUAGUUGGCGGGGUAACGGCCCACCAAGUCUACGAUCAGUAGCUGAUGUGAGAUCAUGAUCACCCACACGGGGACUGAUACACGGGCCCGACUCCUACGGGAGGCAGCAGUAAGGAAUAUUGGACAAUGGACGCAAGUCUGAUCCAGCCAUGCCGCGUGAAGGAUUAAGGUCCUCUGGAUUGUAAACUUCUUUUAUAAGGGACGAAAAAAGGUCUUUCUAGAUCGUCUGACGGUACCUUAUGAAUAAGCACCGGCUAACUCCGUGCCAGCCGCCGCAGUAACAC